GACAGAGGGUGCAACCGUUGUUCGGAAUUACUGGGCGUAAAGCGCGUGUAGGCGGUCGGGUAAGUCGGAUGUGAAAGCCCCGGGCUCAACCCGGGAAGUGCAUUCGAUACUACUUGGCUAGAGUACUGGAGAGGAUGGUGGAACUCUCGGUGUAGAGGUGAAAUUCGUAGAUAUCGAGAAGAACACCGGCGGCGAAGGCGGCCAUCUGGACAGAUACUGACGCUGAGACGCGAAAGCGUGGGGAGCAAACAGG
rnacentral:rRNA from 1 species